UACGGGGGGGCAAGCGUUGUCCGGAUUUAUUGGGCGUAAAGAGCGUGUAGGCGGCCAGGUAGGUCUGCUGUGAAAACUCGAGGCUCAACCUCGAGACGUCGGCGGAAACCAUCUGGCUAGAGUCCGGAAGAGGAGAGUGGAAUUCCUGGUGUAGCGGUGAAAUGCGCAGAUAUCAGGAAGAACACCCGUGGCGAAGGCGGCUCUCUGGGACGGUACUGACGCUGAGACGCGAAAGCGUGGGGAGCGAACAGG
rnacentral:rRNA from 1 species